AACGAACGCUGGCGGCAGGCUUAACACAUGCAAGUCGAGCGCCCCGCAAGGGGAGCGGCAGACGGGUGAGUAACGCGUGGGAAUCUACCGUGCCCUACGGAAUAGCUCCGGGAAACUGGAAUUAAUACCGUAUACGCCCUACGGGGGAAAGAUUUAUCGGGGUAUGAUGAGCCCGCGUUGGAUUAGCUAGUUGGUGGGGUAAAGGCCUACCAAGGCGACGAUCCAUAGCUGGUCUGAGAGGAUGAUCAGCCACAUUGGGACUGAGACACGGCCCAAACUCCUACGGGAGGCAGCAGUGGGGAAUAUUGGACAAUGGGCGCAAGCCUGAUCCAGCCAUGCCGCGUGAGUGAUGAGGGUCUUAGGAUUGUAAAGCUCUUUCACCGGUGAAGAUAAUGACGGUAACCGGAGAAGAAACCCCGGCUAACUUCGUGCCAGCCGCCGCGGUAA
rnacentral:rRNA from 1 species